GACGAACGCUGGCGGCGUGCUUAACACAUGCAAGUCGAACGGAAAGGCCCUGCUUUUGUGGGGUGCUCGAGUGGCGAACGGGUGAGUAACACGUGAGUAACCUUCCCUUGACUUUGGGAUAACUUCAGGAAACUGGGGCUAAUACCGGAUAGGAGCUCCUGCUGCAUGGUGGGGGUUGGAAAGUUUCGGCGGUUGGGGAUGGACUCGCGGCUUAUCAGCUUGUUGGUGGGGUAGUGGCUUACCAGGGCUUUGACGGGUAGCCGGCCUGGGAGGGUGACCGGGGACAUUGGGACUGCGAUACGGCCCAGACUGCUACGGGAGGCAGCAGUGGGGAAUAUUGCACAGUGGGCGGAAGCCUGAUGCAGAGACGCCGCGUGCGGGAUGCCGGCCUUCGGGUUGUAAACCGCUUUCGCCUGUGACGAAGCGUGAGUGACGGUAAUGGGUAAAGAAGCACCGGCUAACUACGUG
rnacentral:rRNA from 1 species